AAUAAACCAAUAAAGAGUAAGAAGCAAAGCAUGCACACAAGAUAAUUUAUUUGUUCUUCUUAAUUGAGGAGGCCAAUAAAGAUCUGAGCUUUACUAACCAGAAAACAGAAACAUUUGGGCCUACAAGCUGAUCACACAACCACCACCACCAUCUCCAGUCUAAAGACUAAAGUUGUUGCAAUAAUUUUUCAACCAUCAAAACCAGAAGCUUUAAGCAUCAAGCAAUAAAAACUAAACAACACUGGUAAUCUUGUUCUAAUGCACAUUAUAUAACCUCAAGACUUAACAGUAAAGAACACCAAAUUUCAAUUGAGGCAAACCAGAAACAGAGCUACGGACAAAGUGAUAAAAUAAAAUAAAACAUCAAUAUCACAUUAUCACAUUUAACCAUUAAGAGAGAUGUACUAGAAUACAAAAUCUCCAAAGUCAGAAACAAAUACUGCAUGUACAAUCUAGCAAAUGGAAUAACAAAAAAUAACAAUUUUUUUAAGGAGUUUUCAUGUGCUCUGUCUACUUCCCCUCCGUUGAUGAUACAUCUCUUGUGCUAAAUUUGUCCUCCAUGUAUUCCACUCUUCUGAGGUUUCUAUACUAGUUAUCAUGCUAUCUCCAAGUGAUUCCAUCUCAUUUACAGCAUCUAAUGCUUCCUCAAAAGGAUCACAUGACAUCUCCCUCCAUAAUUAAUUAAUCAAAGCUAGUUCAAUAAACAAACGAUGGCAGCGGCUGUGCUGUGCAAAUGGAUGAAAAUUGGAGAAGGGGCUGCAGGUUAUAGAGAAAUUGUAAGACAAAAUAUUUUAGGGUUUCAUAUUUUAAAUUUUAAGUAAGGGUAAAAUUAGAAAUUAAAAAAUAUAGUAGGGUUACAAAUGACAAUUUGAAUAUUUUUAAGUGAUGAAAUUAGAAUUUCUAUCCCCUCAUAGAAGAAAAUUGAAUUCCUUACUACAACAGAAAUUAAAUUUCUAUGGAGAUUAAU
rnacentral:lncRNA from 1 species